GUAGGGGAGCGAGCGUUAUCCGGAAUUAUUGGGCGUAAAGCGUGCGUAGGCGGUUUAUUAAGUCUGAUGUGAAAUCCCCCGGCUCAACCGGGAGGGUCAUUGGAAACUGGUAAACUUGAGUACAGUAGAGGCAAGUGGAAUUCCAUGUGUAGCGGUAAAAUGCGUAGAUAUAUGGAGGAACACCAGUGGCGAAGGCGGCUUGCUGGGCUGGAACUGACGCUGAGGCACGAAAGCGUGGGGAGCAAACAGGAUUAGAUACCCUGGUAGUCCACGCCGUAAACGAUGGGUACUAAGUGUUGGCAGAGAUGUCAGUGCUGUAGUUAACGCAUUAAGUACCCCGCCUGGGGAGUACGGUCGCAAGACUG
rnacentral:rRNA from 1 species